AACCGUGAUGUCCCCCUAGUUAUAGGAAAAGUAUACACAUACAACAAUCCUAACUACAGGAAUAUCCAAUUGGGAUAUAUUAAUAAAAAACGUAAAACUCGUCGGAAUAAGGCUGGACUAAAAAAUACUUCUGCUCAGAUUGCGGCCGAUGUGCGGGAUCCUGCCGGCUUAGUUAAAUAUAUCACUAUUGGAAUUGAUCCGGCAUAUUGAACCGAUUUAUUGUUUUUAAAAUUUAAAUAUGCUUAACAAAUGCUGCCCCAGAAGGAAUGAGAUCGCCAAAGCGAACG